CAGGUUUGUGUCAGCAUCCCCCGGGCACUUCGGGACCUGGAGGUGAAGGCAGGGCAGGGCAGGGAAAAGGGCAGCCCACGGUGCAUCUCUGUGGGUUGUGCCCUAAUGCCGAGGCGGGCAGUGGGAUGGGGGUCCCUUUGCUGGGUCCCUUUGCUGGGUGUCUUUGCUGCCUCCUGGGCAGAGGAGCUGUUUGUGGGGACAGCUCCCGGGCUCCAGAGCCUGGUCCUGCCCCCCAACCCUAUGGCUGCAGAAACACAGCUAAAGAAAUAAAAUCAAACUCAUCCUCUCCUUUGGGGUAAUUCAGUUUUGCCUCUGGGCUUUGUGCUCUGGGCCUCCUUUGGUAGAGAAGGAGCGAUACGACCUGAGGAGGAGGGAGUGCCCAAAGAAAUGCUCUUGUCUUCAUCCUCUUUCCAGCUCUCCCUGUGUUGCUGGCAAGUAGUUUCCUCCUGCCCUGCCUUCUGCCUGCAUGGCUGUAACACCUCCCACCUGGCAAUCAUACCUCAGCUGGAUGCUGUGUCUGAGCUGAACGGGCUUGCUUUUCCCACACCCCAAAACUCGCCACCUCCAUCUCCCCCUUCCGCCUGAGCUGCUGGUGGAAACAGCAGGGAACUGUGUGCCAUGCCUUGCCUUCUCUUGG